UACAGAGGUCCCGAGCGUUGUUCGGAUUCAUUGGGCGUAAAGGGUGCGUAGGCGGCGGGGUAAGUCUGAUGUGAAAUCCUGGGGCUCAACCCCAGAACUGCAUUGGAUACUGCCUUGCUAGAGUACUGGAGAGGAAGCUGGAAUUUACGGUGUAGCAGUGAAAUGCGUAGAGAUCGUAAGGAAGACCAGUGGCGAAGGCGAGUUUCUGGACAGUAACUGACGCUGAGGCACGAAGGCCAGGGGAGCAAACGGG
rnacentral:rRNA from 1 species